rnacentral:rRNA from 1 species
AGUAGGCGGUAAUAUGUGUCAGAUGUAAAAGGCUAUGGCUUAACCAUAGUUGGCAUUUGAAACUGUAUUACUUGAGUGCAGGAGAGGUAAGUGGAAUUCCUAGUGUAGCGGUGAAAUGCGUAGAUAUUAGGAGGAACACCAGUGGCGAAGGCGACUUACUGGACUGUAACUGACGCUGAGUCACGAAAGCGUGGGUAGCAAACAGGAUUAGAUACCCUGGUAGUCCACGCUGUAAACGAUGAGUGCUAGGUGUUGGGUAGCGAUAUUCAGUGCCGAAGUAAACACAAUAAGCACUCCGCCUGGGGAGUACGGUCGCAAGACU